UUGACGGGGUGCUGCUUGCAAAGCGGCUGAGAUGAUACCCGUUGAACCUGAACCGGCUAGCACCGGCGUAGGAAUCGAGAU
rnacentral:ncRNA from 1 species